UGAUGAUAUGGCAGCUUGUGAUUGGAUGUUGAGUUUUCAAUUUUUUUUUCAAUCUUAAUUCUCAAGUCUCAUCCUAGAACCCCGUUGGUGAAGAAGAAUUUUGUUUGGGAGGGAAAAACGAAGGUUUGAAAGUCUUUUUGGAGCUUCAAAUGAAUUAAAAAACAAUGGUUCCCCUCUUUGUACUUGGAAUGUACUUGAUUUUGUACUUUGAUUAUUUCUUUGUCUCUUCUUUCUUUGGAUGAUAAUGAAUAUGCCAAGGAAUAUUCUUUCACAAACACCUAGUACACUCUCUUUCUUCUCAUUUUUUGGAUUAAACGCUCUCUUUGAAUAUUCUUACUUAGCAAGACUUGAUGAACAUGGAAGAACAAGAUGAAUAUUUAAGAGUUGACCAAAGUUUGACCCCUAACCAAAUGAACUCCAAAUCUAAUUUUUUUUUGUAGAUCUAGGUUCCUUAGGCCAAGGUGAACUCAAAUAACUAAAAAUUAUUAACAAACCAA
rnacentral:lncRNA from 1 species